rnacentral:misc_RNA from 1 species
UCUCCGUAGGUGAACCUGCGGAGGGAUCAUUACCGAGUUCUCGCCCGCCAGGGUACAUCUCACACACACUGCGUUUGCUACCGGGUUUAUUUGGCGGGCCGCAGGGCGCUGCCCCGCCGCCAAGCGACCCCGCAGGCGCGCGCCCGCCGUAGGCUCCCCGAAACCUCAAAGACAAUGCCAUCCGAGUAACACACAAUAGUUAAAACUUUCCACAACGGAACACUUGGGUCUGGCAUCGAUGAAGAACGCUGCACAUCGGAAACGCGCACGUCUGAACUC